UGGGGAAUAUUGGACAAUGGGCGAAAGCCUGAUCCAGCCAUGCCCGCGUGUGUGAAGAAGGCCUUUUGGUUGUAAAGCACUUUAAGUGGGGAGGAAAAGCUUAUGGUUAAUACCCAUAAGCCCUGACGUUACCCACAGAAUAAGCACCGGCUAACUCUGUGCCAGCAGCCGCGGUAAUACAGAGGGUGCAAGCGUUAAUCGGAAUUACUGGGCGUAAAGCGCGCGUAGGUGGUUAUUUAAGUCAGAUGUGAAAGCCCCGGGCUUAACCUGGGAACUGCAUCUGAUACUGGAUAACUAGAGUAGGUGAGAGGGGAGUAGAAUUCCAGGUGUAGCGGUGAAAUGCGUAGAGAUCUGGAGGAAUACCGAUGGCGAAGGCAGCUCCCUGGCAUCAUACUGACACUGAGGUGCGAAAGCGUGGGUAGCAAACAGGAUUAGAUACCCUGGUAGUCCACGCCGUAAACGAUGUCUACCAGUCGUUGGGUCUUUUAAAGACUUAGUGACGCAGUUAACGCAAUAAGUAGACCGCCUGGGGAGNACAGCCGCAAGGUUA
rnacentral:rRNA from 1 species